UAUCGGAACGUACCCAGAAGUGGGGGAUAACGUAGCGAAAGUUACGCUAAUACCGCAUACGAUCUACGGAUGAAAGCAGGGGAUCUUCGGACCUUGUGCUUUUGGAGCGGCCGAUAUCUGAUUAGCUAGUUGGUGAGGUAAAGGCUCACCAAGGCGACGAUCAGUAGCUGGUCUGAGAGGACGACCAGCCACACUGGAACUGAGACACGGUCCAGACUCCUACGGGAGGCAGCAGUGGGGAAUUUUGGACAAUGGGGGCAACUCUGAUCCAGCAAUGCCGCGUGAGUGAAGAAGGCCUUCGGGUUGUAAAGCUCUUUUGUCAGGGAAGAAACGGCUGUGGCUAAUAUCCACGGCUAAUGACGGUACCUGAAGAAUAAGCACCGGCUAACUACGUGCCAGCAGCCGCGGUAAUACGUAGGGUGCAAGCGUUAAUCGGAAUUACUGGGCGUAAAGCGUGCGCAGGCGGUUUUGUAAGUCUGUUGUGAAAUCCCCGGGCUUAACCUGGGAAUUGCAAUGGAGACUGCAAGGCUGGAGUCUGGCAGAGGGGGGUAGAAUUCCACGUGUAGCAGUGAAAUGCGUAGAGAUGUGGAGGAACACCGAUGGCGAAGGCAGCCCCCUGGGUCAAGACUGACGCUCAUGCACGAAAGCGUGGGGAGCAAACAGGAUUAGAUACCCUGGUAGUCCACGCCCUAAACGAUGUCUACUAGUUGUCGGGUCUUAAUUGACUUGGUAACGCAGCUAACGCGUGAAGUAGACCGCCUGGGGAGUACGGUCGCAAGAUUAAAACUCA
rnacentral:rRNA from 1 species